rnacentral:rRNA from 1 species
UGAGGAAUAUUGGGCAAUGCCCGCAAGGGUGACCCAGCAACGCCGCGUGGAGGAUGAAUGUCGUAAGAUUGUAAACUCCUGUUAGAGGGGAAGAAUAGUACCGGUUAGACCGGUAUAUGACUGUACCCUCAGAGAAAGCCCCGGCUGACUACGUGCCAGCAGCCGCGGUAAUACGUAAGGGGCAAGCGUUGUCCGGAUUUACUGGGUGUAAAGGGCGCGCAGGCGGGAUAAAAAGUCAGUGGUGAAAUCCUACAGCUUAACUGUAGAACUGCCUUUGAUAAUUUUAUUCUUGAGUUCGGGAGAGGGUGACGUAAUUUCAGGUGUGGUGGUGAAAUACGUAGAUAUCUGGAAGAACACCAGUUGCGAAGGCGGUCUCUUGGUCCGACACUGACGCUGAGGCGCGAAAGCGUGGGGAGCAAACA